rnacentral:rRNA from 1 species
AAAUUGAAGAGUUUGAUCAUGGCUCAGAUUGAACGCUGGCGGCAGGCCUAACACAUGCAAGUCGAACGGUAGCACAGAGAGCUUGCUCUCGGGUGACGAGUGGCGGACGGGUGAGUAAUGUCUGGGAAACUGCCCGAUGGAGGGGGAUAACUACUGGAAACGGUAGCUAAUACCGCAUAACGUCGCAAGACCAAAGUGGGGGACCUUCGGGCCUCACACCAUCGGAUGUGCCCAGAUGGGAUUAGCUAGUAGGUGGGGUAACGGCUCACCUAGGCGACGAUCCCUAGCUGGUCUGAGAGG